rnacentral:rRNA from 1 species
UACGUAGGUGGCAAGCGUUGUCCGGAAUUACUGGGCGUAAAGCGUGCGCAGGCGGUCCGCAAAGUCUGAUGUGAAAGCCCCGGGCUCAACCUGGGAACUGCAUUGGAAACUAACGGGCUCGAGUGUGGCAGAGGGGGGUGGAAUUCCACGUGUAGCAGUGAAAUGCGUAGAGAUGUGGAGGAACACCGAUGGCGAAGGCAGCCCCCUGGGCUAACACUGACGCUCAGGCACGAAAGCGUGGGGAGCAAACAGG